rnacentral:rRNA from 1 species
UGAGUAACCUGCCCUUAACUCUGGGAUAAGCCUGGGAAACUGGGUCUAAUACCGGAUAUGACUCCUCAUCGCAUGGUGGGGGGUGGAAAGCUUUUUGUGGUUUUGGAUGGACUCGCGGCCUAUCAGCUUGUUGGUGAGGUAAUGGCUUACCAAGGCGACGACGGGUAGCCGGCCUGAGAGGGUGACCGGCCACACUGGGACUGAGACACGGCCCAGACCUCCGUACGGGAGCAG